CAGCCGCCACGGUAAUACGUAGGUGGCAAGCGUUGUCCGGAAUUAUUGGGCGUAAAGGGCUCGCAGGCGGUUUCUUAAGUCUGAUGUGAAAGCCCCCGGCUCAACCGGGGAGGGUCAUUGGAAACUGGGAAACUUGAGUGCAGAAGAGGAGAGUGGAAUUCCACGUGUAGCGGUGGAAUGCGUAGAGAUGUGGAGGAACACCAGUGGCGAAGGCGACUCUCUGGUCUGUAACUGACGCUGAGGAGCGAAAGCGUGGGGAGCGAACAGGAUUAGAUACCCCGGUAGUCCCUGUCUCUUAUAC
rnacentral:rRNA from 1 species